GGGGCAGUGGUCUAGCAUGGCUAUGAUUCUCGCCCGGGGCGCGAGAGCUCGUGGGUUCGAAUCCCAUCUGCCCA
rnacentral:tRNA from 1 species